rnacentral:rRNA from 1 species
UACGGAGGGUGCGAGCGUUGUCCGGAAUCACUGGGCGUAAAGGGCGCGUAGGCGGCUCAUGAAGGCUGUGGUGAAAGUCCGGGGCUCAACCUCGGAUCGGCCGUGGCGACUCGUGGGCUGGAGCACUGUAGAGGCGGGUGGAAUUCCGGGUGUAGCGGUGGAAUGCGUAGAGAUCCGGAAGAACACCAGUGGCGAAGGCGGCUAUCUGGACGGUUUCUGACGCUAAGACGCGAAAGCGUGGGGAGCAAACAGG